rnacentral:rRNA from 1 species
ACAUGGAGCUGCCAUUGGUACAGAUCUUGGUGGUAGUAGCAAAUAAUCGAAUGAGACCUUGGAGGACUGAAGUGGAGAAGGGUUUCGUGUGAACAGUGGUUGAUCACGAGUUAGUCGGUCCUAAGCCUAAGGCGAAAGCCAAAUAAAAAUUUAAGGUUUAUCAUUCAUUGGAUAAUUAAAAAUACCUUAAGUUUAAAAUUAGGCGAAAGGGAAUACGGUUCCAAUUCCGUAACCUGUUGAGUAUACGUUUGUAAUAAAUCUGGUCAUUUAUGAUCAUCCCGGUAACGGAAACAAUCAUAGAGAAGCCGUCGAGAGGUAUCGGAAGAGUUUUCUUUUCUGUUUUAUAGCUGUACUACCAUGGAAGUCUUUCGAAGAGAGAUAUGGUAGAUGAGCUAGAAGAGCAUGGCAUUUACUGCUGUGUCGAUAUUUUCUCCUCGGACCUUGAAAAUCUAUGAUUGGGCUACGCAAACUUCUCAACAGGCCGUACCAAUAUCCGCAGCUGGUCUCCAAGGUGAAAAGUCUCUAGUCGAUAGAAUAAUGUA